AAAAACUAUUUCUUCCAAAGAGCCACUCUGUUACUGUUUCUCAUGGUUAGAAGACAAUAUUUGCUUUCUCUUUGUCAUUUCUUCCGGAUGAAAGGCUAAGCCGUAAUAGAAAGAAUGGAGAACUAUUGAUUGACCAUCUUUAUUCUGUGGGCUCUGAUUCUCCCAUGGGAACACCAAGGGAUGGUUUUCCAUACUGGAACUCAAAGGUAAAGACAUUCAAGGACAGACAUUUUUGGCACAGCAUAGAUGAAAAUGGCAAGUUCCCUGGCCUUCCUUCUGCUCAACUUUCAUGUCUCCUUCUUCUUGGUCCAGCUGCUCACUCCUUGCUCAGCUCAGUUUUCUGUGCUUGGACCCUCUGGGCCCAUCCUGGCCAUGGUGGGUGAAGACGCUGAUCUGCCCUGUCACCUGUUCCCAACCAUGAGUGCAGAGACCAUGGAGCUGAGAUGGGUGAGUUCCAGCCUAAGGCAGGUGGUGAAUGUGUAUGCAGAUGGAAAGGAAGUGGAAGACAGGCAGAGUGCACCAUAUCGAGGGAGAACUUCGAUUCUACGGGAUGACAUCGCUGCAGGGAAGGCUGCUCUCCGAAUACACAACGUCACAGCCUCUGACAGUGGAAAGUACUUGUGUUAUUUCCAAGAUGGUGACUUCUAUGAAAAAGCCCUGGUGGAGCUGAAGGUUGCAGCACUGGGUUCUAAUCUUCAUGUUGAAGUGAAGGGUUAUGAGGAUGGAGGGAUCCAUCUGGAGUGCAGGUCCACUGGCUGGUAUCCCCAACCCAAAAUACAGUGGAGCAAUGCCAAGGGACAGAACAUCCCAGCUGUGGAAGCACCUGUGGUUGCAGAUGGAGUGGGCCUAUAUGCAGUAGCAGCAUCUGUGAUCAUGAGAGGCGGCUCUGGGGAGAGUGUGUCCUGCAUCAUCAGAAAUUCUGUUCUUGGCCUGGAAAAGACAGCCAGCAUUUCUAUCGCAGACCCCUUCUUCAGGAGUGCCCAGCCCUGGAUCGCAGCCCUGGCAGGGACCCUGCCUAUCUUGCUGCUGCUUCUCGGUGGAGCCAGUUACUUCUUGUGGAGACAACAUAAGGAAAUAACUGCUUUAUCCAGUGAGAUAGAAAGUGAGCAAGAGAUGAAAGAACGGGGAUAUGCUGCAACAAAGCAGGAAAUAAGCCUAAGAGAGAGCCUCCAGGAGGAACUCAAGAGGAGAAAAAUCCAAUACUUGACUCGUGGAAAGGAGUCUUCGUCUGAAACUGAUAAGUCAGCCUGAUGCUCUAAUGGAAAAUGGCCCUCUUCAAGCCUGAGCAACUUCAAGAAGAAUUGCGUGAAUUUCAAAAUUGCCACUGUCAACUUGGGAAAAAACAGCAAAAUGUCACAACCAGAUAUUUCACCAUGGAGAAUAGAGGAAAUCAUUUUAACACAAUGGAAAGGUAGAUUGAAUGAGAAUAAAUGCAGAUGGGAGAAGCUUACAGAAUGCCCAGAGCCUGGAGCGUUUCUCGCACCGACUGACAGGAAAUGGACCAAGCUGAUGAGAAACAUCACCUCUGAGCCAAUCAAGAAACUAAUUCUUCCAAAGAGAGAUUGUUCCAAUUCCUCACGGUGACCUGACAGCCUCUGCUUUCUUUUUCCUUUCUUCGGAAUGAGAGACUCAACCAUAGUAGAAAGAAUGGAGGACUAUAUUAACGACCCUUCUUCAGUGGGCUGUGAUUUUCAAAGGGGAAUACUAAGUUGUAAGUAGGGGAUAUUGAUUACAGCCUGGGUUACAAUGCCUGGGAGGACAGUGGCUGAAUCACUGAGAGUGGUGAGUGGGCAUGCAGGGCAUGACUCACCCAGAGAAAGGGUGAGGUGCCUGUGUUUGUGUGUGUAUGUGCGUGUGUGUCUGCAUGGGCACCCACACACAUGUGUGGGUACGCGGGGGGAGACAAGUAGUGCAAAGAAUAAAGACCUGCAGAUGUUGGGAUUUGGUGGAAGGAAAGGGAGACAACAUAAAUGAAGAAAUAUUCCAACUGCAUGUUCUUAAGAACGUAUUGUGGUCAGAAAAGGGCAAAAAAGUCUCUAAAAUCUGUUCUGGCCAACUCAAGCCAUCUAUUCUAAGAGAUUCUAGAAAGAGAUGUGCCUUAUAGAUUCAUAUGUAAAUUUGUUCAUUAUGGAAAUAUUUAUAAUAUAGAAAAAUCUGAACCAGCAUACACAUACAACAGGCGGGGAAUAGACAAAAAAUGCAUGGUUCAAUCACAAAAGAGAUUUCCAUGCAGUCUUUAGGAAUUGUGUUUUUAAUGAAGGGCAAUUAUUUCUAAUUUUAACAAUGUUGGAUCCAUACAUUAAACCUUGUUUUGUUUCUUUUAGGAACAGUAUAUCUUUUUCCUUCCAUUCAUCAUUUCCCCAAAACCUAACAUAUGUGUUCCAAUGGAUACAAUCUAUUUCAUUGUAUGAAUAUACAAUUAUUUUUAAUACUUUCCUACUUUGGCUAUUUCAAUUAUCUAUAUUUGGCUUCUGUAGAUUUUAUUAUACUUAACAGCCUCAGGCAUAAAUUUUUGUCUUAAUUUCUGAUUGUUUUUUUCCUUCAAUAAUAAUUCCAAUAAGUGGAACUUUUGGGUAAAGCAUACAACUUCUUUUAUUUAAAUAGCAGUUCCUUGGUACAGCAUGUAACUUUUUAAGGAUGCUUGCUGUAUAUAUGACCAAAAUGCUUUGAGAAAUAUUUAUAUUUCUACUACCAAAGUAUAUGAUUACUACUACAGAGCUUUUUAUUGAUUUAUUGAUUUGUAGAAAUGGGGGUCUCAUUAUGUUGCCCAGGCUGGUCUUAAACUCCUGGGCUCAAGGGAUGCUCCCACCUCAACCUCCCAAAUUGCUAUGAUUACAGGCAUUAGCCACUACUUAAACUUUUAUUCCUUUAUGCUUUCCUUCAUUUGCAAUAUUGACUAUAAUCAGGAAGGAAAAAAAUAAAUAUCCUUUUAAAAAAUGAAAACAUAUGUCUCCCUUUAAGCAGAGCAGAGAAAUUGUUAACUUUGAAACCAAUGAUAAUAAAAAUGAUACCCCUUCUAUAGCAACAUAAAGAGCAGUUUUGGGGGAGCAGAAGAUGUGGUGAAAUGCAAUGUUUAGUGCGGGUGGGUGCAAGAUCCAGGCAGGGGUGGAGGAUGGCCGGCUGCACAGACCUCUGUUCCGGUGCUUCCUCUUCAUUCCUCCCCACCUGCCUCUGCAGACCUUGUUCUCAGAGGCCAUUCCCAGACCCAGGUAGCCACAGCAGCAGGUGUUAUGGCUGCAGGCCUCAUGCUCCUUUGAUUUAGAAGAAACUGUUGAGGAGUUAGUUUUUACUGAGUAGCUAAUAUGUUCCAAGCAGUAUUCUCACUCAUAAUAAUUACUGUUAAGUAAUACAUGAAAAAUUUUAAAUUUAAAGCAUUUCAAUAUUUUAAUAGUAAAGGGAGCAAAAGGCCAAAAUGUCCUUUCACUCACUUAACCUCCAAUCUUCAGUUUAGCAUGCACCUUUUUAUACACUUUUUCAGGUGUUUACAUCUAUAUGUGGAAAUGUAUAGUUUUGCUUUUGUUUUUCAAUUGAAUCAUUAGUAUAGUUCCGCAACAUACUUUUUGAUCACUUAGUGUGUCUCCAUUAUCUAGGUUAUGACAAUAAAUCAACUCUUUUUACCUGCUUCAUUGAAUUCCCUCCGAGGGAUGAGCCAUCAUUCCUCUAAGCAGUCUCCUGUUGGGUGGCUGGUUCAGUUGGUUACCACUUUUAUGCUUUAAAAAUAGUGCUGCAGUAUCAUUCUCACAGAGGCUUCUCUCUGUACCCAUGCAAGUACUUUGCUGGACUAGAUAUCAGGAAGUGGAAUUGCUGGGCCAAUUGUGCACAUUCUAAUUUCACACUUAAUGAUAUUGAAUGAGUAAAUAAAGUUCCAAUGGUUUUGUCCCAUAACCGAGCUCACACAGCUUGUGAAUCUUAGAGCACACAGCUUGUGAAUCUUAGAGGCUUUAUCUAUUGCUUACCUUUUUUGUGUCCAUAACACUAACAUAGUAGGCCUGGCCCAUUGUGGGUGCUCAGUAAAUAUUUGUUGAAUGACUUUAUGAAGGAAGAAAGAAAAGAUGAGUAAAACCUGGUCUUAUUUGCAGCUCUCUGAUCUCUAGCCUUGAAUUAAAUGUGAUGGGUUCAGCCCCUAACUGACUCCAGAGCCCCCACCAGGCAGUCUGCCUGAAUCCCACCAGGAGUCCACUGGGCCAUGACUUGACCAUGAUGAUGGCCAAGAGUUGAGGCUUUGAGGAGUCCAAGAUAUUGGACACCAUCUGUGGUGGACCCCAGUGGAUCCAAGGAGCCCAGUGAAGAGGGUCCUGCAUGAAUCAGAGGGGGAUAGUGGAGGGUUGGACAUGGCAGGGGAAGUUUGGGGAAGUGAUAGGAUUCUGAAUAUUUUCAAGCAGUAGAGUCAAGGAUUUCUUGAUUGGAUAACAUGUGCAUUAUACAUAGACAUGUUUACAGGUAAUUUUCCAUGUUGGAACUCAAAAGUAAAGACCCUGAAGGACAGACUUUUUUGGCACCGGUAAGAUCUUCUUCUGUCACUGUAAUUGAGUUAGCCCUGGGGAAGUGGACCUGUGGAAUCCUAUAGCUUCCUUUGGGCCAUAGUGUCUGCUCCACACCUUCUGGUGUCUCCUGAUAUGCAGCACGGAUGAAAAUGGCAAGUUCCCUGGCCUUUCUUCUGCUCAACUUUCAAGUCUGCCUCCUCUUGGUCCAGCUGCUCACUCCUUGCUCAGGUAAGGAAUGAUUCCAUGAUUGUUUCUGAAGCAGACAAUUAUGUAUUAAUGUCCUCAUAGAACUUUUGACUCCUUCCCAAACCUGGAAGUCCAUCCCAACUGGAAGGAUCACAUGUCACUAAGAGACAAAGAGUGUUUCUGUUAGCAGUUGGUCCCCCUCUAGGUUCUCUGUAUCUCGCCUUCCCUGUCUGAGAAGCACCCUUCCUCUCAUGACCCCAACUCUAACACCCUCUGAUGGAGCCUACUCCUUGUGACGACAGCUCAGUUUGCUGUGCUUGGACCCCUUGGGCCCAUCCUGGCCAUGGUAGGUGAAGACUCUGAUCUGCCCUGUCACCUGUUCCUGACAGUGAGUGCAGAGACCAUAGAGCUGAGGUGGAUAAGUUCCAGCCUAAGGAGGGUGGUGAAUGUGUAUGCAGAUUGCAAGAAAAUGGAAGACAGCCAGAGUGCAGAGUAUUGAGGUAGAACUUCGAUUCUUCAGGAUGGCAUCACUGCAGGGAAUACUGCUCUCCCAAUAUACAAUGUUACAGCCUCUGAUAAUGGAAAGUACUUGUGUUAUUUCCAAGAUGGUGACUUCUAUGAAAAAGCCCUGGUGGAGCUGAAGGUUGCAGCACUGGGUUCUGAUCUUCACGUUGAAGUGAAGGGUUGUGAGGAUGGAGGAAUCCAUCUGGAGUGCAGGUCCACUGGCUGGUACCCACAACCCCAAAUACAGUGGAGCAACAUCAAGGAAGAGAACAUCCCGGCUGUGGAAGCACCUGUGGUUGCAGAUGGAGUGGGCCUGUAGCAUUAGCAGCAUCCGUGAUCCUGAGAGGCAGCUCUGGGGAGGGUGUAUCCUGCAUCAUCAGAAAUUUCCUCCUCGGUCUGGAAAAGACAGCCAGCAUUUCCAUCGAAGAUCCCUUCUUCAGGAGCACCCAGUCCUGGAUCGCAGCCCUGGAAGGGACCCUGCCUAUCUCGCUGCUGCUUCUUGCAGGAGCCAGUUACUUCUUGAGGCAACAGCAGAAGGAAAAAAUUGCUCUGUCCAGGGAGACAGAAAGAGAGCGAAAGAUGAGAGAAAUGGGAUUAUGCUGCCACAAAGCAGGAAAUAAGCCUAAGAGGUAUCCAAAGUGAACAGAGAAUCUAAGCCCCAGGCUUGCAUGCCCAGCCUGAAGAUCUCACCCCCAUCCCCACUCUGGCACUGCAUCAUGUUUAAGGUUUAUUUUCCCGAAACUCCCCUCACCCAUAACUGUUCUUUUUUUUUUUUUUUUUUCUUUUUUUGUUUAUUUUCCAGAGAAGCUCCAGGAAGAACUCAGUAAUUUCCCAUUCCCCAGGAGAUCCAGGCAUGUCUUCCUAUCCCCUCCUUGAGGGCCUUGAUAACUCUUCCUUCCCUGUUCAUUCCGUUGCAGAGAGGAGUAAAAUCUAGCACAUGGCUCGUGAGUGGCUCUGACAUUUUCUCUGAAUUUGAAUCUAUGACUGUCUCUCCUCGGAUAUUUUCCAGCCUACAAAUCUUUGUCCAGGUUUGAAAAGUGGUCCUGGAUCUCUUUACUCAGGAAAAGAAAAUAACUGUGGCACUUUGGAGAAACUCCCCGGAAGGAGUCUCUCUCUCUCUUCUUCUAUCUUUCUCAUUCUUGGAAAAAAAAAAAAAAAAAAGUCUUCAAUCUCUUUGUACUAGGGGCCACAGACUUUUAUGCCUUAAAAAACCCUGAGGAAAUCCAGGGGUGCACUUCAAAAGGAAGAGGGAAGAGAAGGAUGAGGUGCAUUUUCUAUGGCAGGAAACUUACUUGUUGUUUUCCAUAAUCUAGAGGAUGUUGAAAAGAAAACAAGAAUGGAAGAUUUAAGAGACAAGAAAAUUAGAAAAGAGAGAGGGAGAAAAGUGUGUCUAAUAAAGUGGAGUAACUACAGUGGCUCAGUUGGUACAGAUUUAUUAUAACUGCAUCAAAAACUAGUCCCUGAAGUUGUUCAUUAAAUUUCCCAAAUUCUUUUUAGAGCAAGGUAAGAAAUGAUACAGAUUGAGAAGGAUGGAUCUUGUACUCCUAGACAUUCGCCUAUAGACAUGGUGACACCUAUGCCCAGGUACAGGAGUAUAGACAGAUUCAAAAUAGAUUGGCAGGACUCCAUUGGGAAGGAACUCUCACAGUGACUGCCUUGCCACUAGCAUCCAGCCAAUGUUCCCAGACUGGAUAUUAAGAAGAAGAGGUGAAGAGAGAAUUGAGCAUGCAGAGUGAGACUGGAGGGAAGGGUGAAAUGGUCAAAAAGAAAUAUUAGAUGGAUGCAAAAAGAAGCAGAAAGGGCCAACACAGAAAAGACAGAGUUCAGGUGACAUCUCUACCUUUCUGUUAUUGUAGGAGGAGAGACGUCUCCUCCUACAUGGUGAGUGAGCCUGAUGCUCUCUGAGUUUGCUGGAUUAUGGGCCAUGAAUAUUUCAACCUUUUUUCUGCUGUGACCCAUUAAUGUUCUCAGUUGGAUUAAUCAGAUCUAACCUGAAGACUCUAUUUUGCAUGUUGAGGGGGUGACUUCUGCUUUUCUGGAGCCUCUGAGAGACUGCUGACUCUGCACAUGCCCAGGCAAAGCCUGGCCAUGCAGCCUGCACCCCUCAUGACACAGGGGGCCAAGUCUGACAUUGUUUAGAAGGUGCCACCUCUUAUCCAUCAGAGCUGUAGAGGAGGGAAGCUGAACCCUGGAAGAGACUCUGAAGAAAAGCAGAGAAAACGUGUAGUGAAAGGAGAAUGGAGUGUGGAAAAGAACAAAAAUACUGACCUUUUUCUUAUCUGUGUCUCCUUCCUUUCAGAAUGGAAAAUGGCCCUUUUCAAGCCUGGUGAGUAAAUCACUGUAUGUUCCCUGGACCAACAACCUGAGGGACCAUAUGCCUUUUUCCUCCUCCAACUCUUGUGAUUUGGGGGAGAAAAGUUGCUUUGACUUCCUUCGUGGAUAGGAAGACACAUGAAGGGUGGAGCUGAGGAGAAGGAGACACACACUGAGUGAUACUGCAGGAAGAGUGAGGAUGGAAAUGCCAAGGAGAGGAGGCGAUGCCUGCCCAAAGAACUUUGUCCUUCCCAGGCUUCCCAUGUCUCCUACUGACUGUGUCUCCUCAAAGGUUUUAAUGCUUCUGAGUUUUGGACUCCACAUUUUUAAAUGAUGUUUGCAAACUGUGUUUUGUGGAGGUUGAUGUGAAGACUGAAGCAAUAAUAAAUAUGCAUUGGUCAAAAACCUAGUAAGAAAGAGA